rnacentral:misc_RNA from 1 species
GAUGAAGAACGUAGCGAAAUGCGAUGAGUAGUGUGAAUUGCAGAAUUCAGUGAAUCAUCGAAUCUUUGAACGCACAUUGCGCCCCUUGGUAUCCCGAGGGGCAUGCCUGUUCGAGCGUCAUUUCACCACUCAAGCCUGGCUUGGUGUUGGGCGACGUCCCCUUUGGGGACGCGCCUCGAAACGCUCGGCGGCGUGGCACCGGCUUUAAGCGUAGCAGAAUCUUUCGCUUUGGAAGUCGGGGCUCCGUCUGCCGGAAGACCUACUCGCAAGGUUGACCUCGGAUCAGGCAGGGAUACCCGCUGAACUUAAGCAUAUCAAUAAGCGGAGGA